AAAUAUAACAAAAAUUGAAUUGUUUCAUUAGAGAACUAUAAAGUCUGUUAUUUAAGAGGAAACUGUUGUGCUGUUCAAAAGCAGGAAAGAAUUGUUGAAGGACUCUAUCUUCGUACAUUGGUUGCCAACCAAGUCUCCUAAUACCUAGGAAGUUAUCAGUCAUGUCAAUGCAUUGAAUUUAGAUUUUUUAAGCUAAAAAAGGAAAGUGAAUUAUUCUAAGAAGUUCUCCUUUCUCCUCAAUAUGGGAAAAAGGCCAUUUUUGUUGUUUGGGGCCUGUUGUGGGAAAACAGGAGGGUUGUUUGAUGAGGAGUCCCCACCUGUAAGUGUGUGUCACCAGACAGCAGGAACUUCUGGGUCAUCCCACGCUGCGGAGUGAGAGCAAACAGUGUCACCGUCCCUGUAGGGGGCUGCAUCGCCUGAUACGUGGAAGCUGAAGGUUAGCUAGGCUCCCUCCUUCAGUCUCCUGAUGGUGUCACGCCUGUGCCCCAUGCCCUGAAACACAGUGUUCCCUGAGACACAGCGUGAGAGGGGCUGCUGCAGGUAGCUUAUGUGAGAAAUGAUGCCAGGGAGCAGAAGUCAGGAGCAGGGAGAGGAAGGCAGGGGAGGGAAGCAAGGAGCCCUAAGAAAUGGAUUUAGGAGCUGUCUGCUUUUCCCUGGAGGGGUGAAGACUUUUCCAUGAUUCCAUCUCCCAUUUGGCAAGGGCCCCUGAGAUGAGUCUUGGGGUGUCAGAGCCUAGAGGCCUCAUCAGGGACCAUCCCCUGCUUUAAAUCGGUCUUUCAUGUGGCAGGGUUGACCAGCAGGGCAUGGGCACAUUCAUCAAUAUUUGCUAGAGCGGCGGGGCCAUUGUGGCACACGCACAACACCAGGUUCACAGGCACAAAUCAUGUGAAAGCAAAUUCAUCUUUCUUCUGACGGGGCCACUAGACUGGUAGGUCAAGGAAAUGCUGGAGCCACAGUGGUUGCAUCUGGCACAGUCUCUCGUGAUGAUAUCCUUGUGUACAAAAUAAAGGCAUGUGGGCCAGAGGUGGUUGGGGUGGCCGUUCCCUGGCAGGUCCAGGGAAUACACCCAACAAAGGCUGGUCUAAGCCAUGGCCAGCAGCGGCUUUCACAGACACUUCUGGUGCUGAGCUGCGAGCCUUAACUGUGUCCUGCUCAGUGGUAAACCACACGUUUUGAAGGACAGUCAGGAUCAGGAGCCGAAAGGGCCUCACAGCACAGGUUAGAAGAAAAGGCUGAACAAGACAGAAGGCCAUUUUAUUUUCUAAUUUUUAUUUAUUUUUCAUUGUAUAUUUUUAAGGCAUGCAACAUGAUGUUUUGAUAUAUGUAUGCAUAGUGAAGUGAAUGCCACAGUCCAGCCAGUUAACAUAUCUGCUAUCUCAUGUCAUCACCGUCUUUUGCAAUAAAAGUGCCUAAAAUUGACUCUCUUGCCAAAUAUCCAGAGUAUAAAAUACAAUAUUCUUAUCUAUUAAUGUCUACAAUAUUAUUAUCAUAUUGUAUUAGAAUGACAUUUUAAAAGGUUAAAUAAAAAGGCUCUUCACUUGGGCUCAAAGAAUUAACUGCACUAGUACCCCAAGGGUGCCAUGGCGCUUAGUAGCAGUGAGGAUGACGAGAAUCCAGGGCUUAGGGCAGGAGGUGGUUUUCAUAUGUUUGUUCCGUCCAUCUUUGGCUACAUUAUGGUGGAAUAUUUCCUAGAAUGCUGCACUGCCUCGCCUUCUCUGGGCUAGGGUAACCACUUUUGGAGUACUGGCAUUCAGUUUUAGGCAUCAUAUUUAAGAAGACAAAGACAGAAUAGACCCAAAGCACAGGGACCAGAUUGCAAAAGGCCCUGACACUGCCUCCAGAAGAAUGACAGAGAACCUAGAGGGUUCACAGCUACUAUCGACUCUGAGGACCAAGGAAAACAGGGCAAAGCUUGUGUUGUAAGACUACAAGGGCAGAAGUGGGGUGGAAACUAAGAAAUUCUCCAGCAUUCAGAGCUGUCCAAGGCAGGAUGGGCUGUCCUGGGAAGCAAUGAGAUCUCAUCACUCAGAAGCUUGGAAGUAAACUGGGCCUGCACCUGCUGCAUGUGGAAACAGUGCUUUAAGUAUUUUAGGGCUGGUUUGUCUGGGCCAUUCCUCCAAACCCUGGGAUUCUAUGAGUCCAUGACGAGUCAAGAAACUGAGGAUCUAACCUUAGCUUUGCCACAAACUAUCUUAGUGACCUUAAGCAGAACAUUUCAAUCCUCUCCAUCUCAUUUUUAUCCUCUGCUAAAAUAAGAAGUUGGACAGGAUUCCCUACAAUGUUUCAUUAAUUCAUAUAUUCUACCACCUUUAUCACCAUGUGCUGCAGUCUCUGCAAAGUGCUGAUAGUUUGUGAUCUCCUCCUUCUUUCAUGUACACCAAGAAAGGGGUUUAGGAGAUAAUGUCUUAACUGACAUUGUAAGACCUGCACC
rnacentral:lncRNA from 1 species